rnacentral:rRNA from 1 species
AGUGAACGCUGGCGGUAGGCCUAACACAUGCAAGUCGAACGGCAGCACAGUAAGAGCUUGCUCUUACGGGUGGCGAGUGGCGGACGGGUGAGGAAUACAUCGGAAUCUACUUUUUCGUGGGGGAUAACGUAGGGAAACUUACGCUAAUACCGCAUACGACCUACAGGUGAAAGCAGGGGAUCUUCGGACCUUGCGCGAUUGAAUGAGCCGAUGUCGGAUUAGCUAGUUGGCGGGGUAAAGGCCCACCAAGGCGACGAUCCGUAGCUGGUCUGAGAGGAUGAUCAGCCACACUGGAACGGAGACACGGUCCAGACUCCUACGGGAGGCAGCAGUGGGGAAUAUUGGACAAUGGGCGCAAGCCUGAUCCAGCCAUACCGCGUGGGUGAAGAAGGCCUUCGGGUUGUAAAGCCCUUUUGUUGGGAAAGAAAAGCAGCAGGUUAAUACCCCGCUGUUCUGACGGUACCCAAAGAAUAAGCACCGGCUAACUUCGUG